GGAUAACCUACCCUUAGGACUGGGAUAACCCUGGGAAACUGGGGCUAAUACCGGAUAGGCAAUUAUUCCUGCAAUGGUUUUUUGUUUAAAUGUUUUUUCGCCUAAGGAUGGGUCUGCGGCCGAUUAGGUAGUUGGUUAGGUAAUGGCUUACCAAGCCAUUGAUCGGUACGGGUUGUGAGAGCAAGAGCCCGGAGAUGGAACCUGAGACAAGGUUCCAGGCCCUACGGGGUGCAGCAGGCGCGAAACCUCCGCAAUGUGAGAAAUCGCGACGGGGGGAUCCCAAGUGCCAUUCUUAACGGGAUGGCUUUUCAUUAGUGUAAAGAGCUUUUGGAAUAAGAGCUGGGCAAGACCGGUGCCAGCCGCCGCGGUAACACCGGCAGCUCUAGUGGUAACAAUUUUUAUUGGGCCUAAAGCGUCCGUAGCCGGUUUAAUAAGUCUCUGGUGAAAUCCUGUAGCUUAACUGUGGGAAUUGCUGGAGAUACUAUUAGACUUGAGACCGGGAGAGGUUAGAGGUACUCCCAGGGUAGAGGUGAAAUUCUGUAAUCCUGGGAGGACCGCCUGUUGCGAAGGCGUCUAACUGGAACGGUUCUGACGGUGAGGGACGAAAGUUAGGGGCGCGAACCGGAUUAGAUACCCGGGUAGUCCUAACUGUAAACGAUGCGGACUUGGUGUUGGGGUGGCUUUGAGCUGCUCCAGUGC
rnacentral:rRNA from 1 species